AUGGUCGCCUGUAGCUUGUGUUUAUUUUCUUGAAAACUUAGAGGAAACUGAUACACAACUUUUUAAAAUUUAGGUGUUUUACUGUUUCAUUUAAGGAACAACCAGAAAUUUUCUAAUGUGAAAGCCUCUUAAGUGAAUAUUUUGUAAAAACCUUUUGCUUUACCAGUGGUCUGGUUUUAACUAUGUGAACUUUAAAAAGAAUUAUGUUUCUGCCACUAUUCUAUGCAUUUGCUUUGCUAGCAGCAUAUUCUGGAAUACUUUUAUUACUUGUAAUUCAGCAAGUUUCUUCUUUGUUUUUUCUUAUCUUUCCUGUUUGUUGUUUGCAAUUGUGUGCUGAUUUCUGCAGCUUGUAAUGCAGUUCUGGUUUGUUUUUUUGUUUUUUUGGUUUUUUUUUUUUUUUUGCAUGAAAUAAGGUUGUGUAACACAUGGAUCUGACCUCAAUUUGAAACUACAGUGGAUGAAGCAGGGAUUAUUUCUUGAGUUAAAUUCUGUCUGAAGUAUGGGUUACGAGAGAACUGGAAAUGCUCUGUAGGACUUAAAAUUUCCUGUUAGAGUACAGGUACAUCUUCCCUUUUUAGCUUUCAAUUCUCUGGCAUAAGAAUGAAGAAAUCUGCAUCAGACCAGCUGAAGUAAAGCCUUUUCUGCAGCCUUGUAAAAACCCAGGAGGGACUUAAGAGAAGCUUCACCAGUACUGGUCUCAGCACAGAGUAAGGAAGCCUUGGAGCAUUCCCUGGAAUUCUGGGCUGGCUGCUGCCUGCCUUCAGAUCUGAACCAGCCAUGGGGUUCCAGCCCUACAGCAUUGAACUGCCAAGUUCCUGCGACUGAGCUGGGUUUAACAGGUCAGGCUUGGCACUGUGCUGCUAUUUUACAGCUGAUUCAUGCUUGGAUCAAGUGGGCUGUGCACAAAGAAUGGUUUGGUUACAAAAGAUUUUGAAAGCAACCCAUGUAAUAAUCUGAACGUAUACAAGAAUGUUAUCCUGUAGCUGAAUUUAGAGGAAAAAACCUACUCUUUUACAGCAAGAGCUAAUGUUUACUAUUAUUGUUAUCAGUGCACAAAUAUAGUGACAAUUAAGUCCAGAGUAAAUAAAAUCAAUCUGAGAUCUGGACCUCAGGUGCUCUGCUAGCUAAUGGUGUACUGAUGGCACAUGAUUUUUAUCUGGCUGUGUUUUAUGAGAUCUUUGCAGAGGUAUCAGUGACCACCUGUGACCACCUAGUGUGUUAGUACUGGUCACUCAGGCUUUGGAAUGCAGUUCUCCUCACUAAACUGCCUUCAGGUUUUGCAAAAUCCUUUAGGUCUGUAUCCCUGUCCUUUUUAGAGACUCCAGCAGUGACCUGCUCCAUGGAAUGGUUCUUGGCAGUGCCAGCACUUGUGUAUGAUUAAAUAAGAAAACUGAUCCAGAUGAAUGUGCUUACAACAGGCACUGCAGAAUCAGCUGAAUCCUUUCUGGGUUAUAUUAAAUGUGAAGUUCAGAUAGGCGGAACUAAAUUUCAUUACUAGUUUAUAAAUCAUUCUAUGCAUUAUUAUGAAAGUUUUUCCUACCAAACAAUACUGAUAAUUUAUUUGCAAAAAAAAAAAAAAUGCUGUGCUGCAUGUUUUACAUUGGUGGGUUGGGAAUAAAACAGGACCAGUGCUUAGCAAUUUUCUGGAAAUGUUUAUACAAAGGGACAGUCACAGAUUAUAUCCCCCUUACAAUCCUAUUAAUACCAAUAUUAAAAUCUGUAAUGAUCAGAGUUUCCACAGGACUCCAAAGAAACACAUUGGAAGUUUGUGGCAGAUCUGGGAUAACAGUCAGAGAGAAACCUCUCCCUCCUCCUCUGCCAGGCAGAAAGGCAGGUAUUUAAUAAGCUGUGUCACUGAUAAAGUUAAUCUGGUACCUGUAUGUCUGUAUCUUUAUUUAUUAGACAAUAUUUUUCUUUGUUCCUUAAUGUUCAUAGUGUGGUUACAGAUUUGUGUUCACAACACUGAGUGAGCAUUAAAUUUAUUUUCAUCAGCAUAGAAUCAUUACAGCUGGUAAAGAUCUUCAGCCAUGGCAAAUCAUUAUAUGGAGAAAAAUGAAAUUAAAAAAAAAUCCAGUUACUGAAAAAGUUACUGCCAGAUUAUGCUCCUCAUUGACAUUUACUUAUUCCAACACUUGUCUGUUUUGAAAAGUCUUGAGAGUCUAUAGUGGUGCUUUGAAAAGAAGAGUAAGAUUACAGAAGUUAAUUUCAUUAUUCCUGUUGUGCGAUGAUUUGCUUUUGGAGCAUAUGACUAUAACAAUUUAGUCUCAUGACGCAUUUGAAAAAAGGCAGUAGGAAUUGUGCUUUCUACUAUGUGGUGUGGUGAAACCACCACAGGAAGAACUAUGAAUCCCUGAGACACCAUUUUCAAAGUUAGGGAUGGUUUUAUUAUUAUUAUCUUACGAAAAUUUCUAUGUUGCCAAGAUCUGUAGGAAUGUGUAGGCACAAAGGCUGGCAAACAAAACUCUGGUUCAAGCAGUCAUCCUUCUUUAGAAAUAGUGCAGAUCAUAGUGUUGGAGAACUUGGUUAUUCCUACUGAACGUGAUCCUGCGCGAUCACAGGAAGUAUCAUGGAGCAUAACACACUUUUACAGAGACAUUAUCACAGAAUCAGAGAAUCACUGAAGUUGGAAGAGACCUCCAAGAUCAUGAAGUCUAACCUUAGGCUUUCUGUUUGUGUGUAGAGUUAACUCCCCCUUCUCAUGCCAAUCAGACAAAUUUUUGCUCUUCAGUUUCUUAGAGUAACUGCAGCUUAGUCAUGGUGAGUGAGGAACUAUUUUAACCUGUGGGUAAAAGCCUGACUGUUGUUUGAUUCGUGUAGUCAUUACAGGAAACCAAGCAUCCAAUUCUAUCUACAGUCAUAGUUAUUAGACAACAUAUACUUUAUUUACAUUUACAAUAUUUUUUCCAUUGCUUUGAGCUUAAAAAUAUAUCCAACUGUCUCUUGAUUAUGGAUUGGCAAUGUGAAAAAAAUAGGCCAAAUAUCUAAUUAUAUUCCAGAGAAGAUUUCUGAUUUGCAAACAGAGUAAUUUUAACUAAAAGCUAAUAAUACAAUUAUAGCUGUGAGGCUGGAAAUCAUAAUAGAUGAGGAUUUGGUUAUUUUAAAUGAGGCAUUAAAGGAUAAUGAAAGUUUUGAGUCACUUUUCCUUAAGUUUCAUUCCCAGUGGCUACAUUUCUAACAGUACUGGUGUGCAAAUAUAGGCAUGGUAAUGUGUGCACAGAAAUGAACACAGACCUCAGGCUGAAAUCAUGAUGAAAAUCAGAAAAUUCCAUUUUGUGGUUCAGGAUUUAUAAAAGAUCACUUAUGGCUGCAACUUAACUAUUUUUUUCCUCCUGAAGCUACAAUGAAGGUAUGUGUUUAAGAAAAGCAAAAUACACCUAGAAGUAAGUAACAAUUUUCUGCCUGGAUCCAUAUUGCUAAUUUUUAUUUUUUGAGAGUGGGGAAAAAAGGACUCUACUGCCAACAUAUAAGAGUUUUAUAGCUAUUUUUGCAUUUGUAAUAUAUGAGUUACUAAGACAGGUCUCAGUUUUAAUAUAGAAACAGCUUAGGAAAUCAUUCCUCAAAAAUAAUCUUGGGGCAAGAUGCAAAACUCAUGUUUCAUGCUUUUUAUACUGUGAGAAGCGUAUUGUACUUCAGAAUGUAAAAGCAAUUGAUUUCCAGCUUUACUGUCCAAUUAAAAUUUUCUGAUUCUUGUAAGCUGGAGCAGGGUAAUUCAUUAUAUCAGCAAAUUGUAUUCUUUCCCAAAGACAUGAAGUGGCAGGCAGGUCAUUUUUACGAAUGCUCAUUAUAUUCAGAAGAAAUCUGAAUGUAAUUUGCAGUUUUCAGAAGGAAGAAAACAUUCAGCUUGGAAUAUGAUGUGUGUAGUGCUCCUACAAAUAACGCUGGUGCUCAGUUUGCACCCAGAGCUCAGGGAUUGUUCUCCCUGUGCAGUCACAAGCCCCUAAAGGAACUGCCCUCUGGUAAGCCCCAACAACAGCAUUAGAGAAGGGAUAACAUCAAUAACAUCCCAUGGGCAAAUUUGUGUCAAUAAACUCUAAAAUACCACAGGGGGUAGAAAAUGUAAUCUGCAACCAGUAAUUUAGAACAUGCAAAAUACAAUAGGAUGCAUUUCUGUGUCCCUU